rnacentral:rRNA from 1 species
AUUGAACGCUGGCGGCAUGCCUUACACAUGCAAGUCGAACGGCAGCACGGGAGCAAUCCUGGUGGCGAGUGGCGAACGGGUGAGUAAUAUAUCGGAACGUGCCCAGUAGUGGGGGAUAGCCCGGCGAAAGCCGGAUUAAUACCGCAUACGACCUGAGGGUGAAAGCGGGGGAUCGCAAGACCUCGCGCUAUUGGAGCGGCCGAUAUCAGAUUAGCUAGUUGGUGGGGUAAAGGCCCACCAAGGCAACGAUCUGUAGUUGGUCUGAGAGGACGACCAGCCACACUGGGACUGAGACACGGCCCAGACUCCUACGGGAGGCAGCAGUGGGGAAUUUUGGACAAUGGGCGCAAGCCUGAUCCAGCAAUGCCGCGUGCAGGAAGAAGGCCUUCGGGUUGUAAACUGCUUUUGUCAGGGAAGAAAUCUUCUGGGCUAAUACCCUGGGAGGAUGACGGUACCUGAAGAAUAAGCACCGGCUAACUACGUGCCAGCCGCCGCCGUAAGAC